GAGGUAUACAGUUCAUUUACAACGUUGCGUUCAUUUCUGGUGCACAGCACCGUGCUGUCCUGGAAUUUAAUUCAACAUUUAAUCUUUAUCUGCUUACACGAGACGGAGCCUAAGUUUAGUUCUUUGCAUAGAGAGCACAAGGGCUGGGAGAG